rnacentral:rRNA from 1 species
GACGAACGCUGGCGGCGUGCUUAACACAUGCAAGUCGAACGGAAAGGCCCUGCUUUUGUGGGGUGCUCGAGUGGCGAACGGGUGAGUACCACGUGAGUAACCUGCCCUUGCCUUUGGGAUAACUUCAGGAAACUGGGGCUAAUACCGGAUAGGAGCUCCUGCUGCAUGGUGGGGGUUGGAAAGUUUCGGCGGUUGGGGAUGGACUCGCGGCUUAUCAGCUUGUUGGUGGGGUAGUGGCUUACCAAGGCUUUGACGGGUAGCCGGCCUGAGAGGGUGACCGGCCACAUUGGGACUGAGAUACGGCCCAGACUCCUACGGGAGGCAGCAGUGGGGAAUAUUGCACAAUGGGCGGAAGCCUGAUGCAGCAACGCCGCGUGCGGGAUGACGGCCUUCGGGUUGUAAACCGCUUUCGCCUGUGACGAAGCGUGAGUGACGGUAAUGGGUAAAGAAGCACCGGCUAACUACGUG